rnacentral:rRNA from 1 species
AUGCACGCUGGCGGCGUGCCUAAUCCAUGCAAGUCGCGCGAACAGACGAGGAGCUUGCUCCUCUGAUGUUAGCGGCGGACGGGUGAGUAACACGUGGAUAACCUACCUAUAAGACUGGAAUAACUUCGGGAAACCGGAGCUAAUACCGGAUAACAUGUUGAACCGCAUGGUUCAACAGUGAAAGACGGUCUUGCUGUCACUUAUAGAUGGAUCCGCGCCGCAUUAGCUAGUUGGUAAGGUAACGGCUUACCAAGGCAACGAUGCGUAGCCGACCUGAGAGGGUGAUCGGCCACACUGGAACUGAGACACGGUCCAGACUCCUACGGGAGGCAGCAGUAGGGAAUCUUGCGCAAUGGGCGAAAGCCUGACGGAGCAACGCCGCGUGAGUGAAGAAGGUCUUCGGAUCGUAAAACUCUGUUAUUAGGGAAGAACAAAUGUGUAAGUAACGAUGCACGUCUUGACGGUACCUAAUCAGAAAGCCACGGCUAACUACGU